rnacentral:rRNA from 1 species
UCGUAACCGGGCUGAAGUCGUACCGUAAGGAGCGGUGGACUGGUUACGAGUGAGAAUGUUGGCAUCAGUAGCGAGAUGUGGGUGAGAAUCCCACAGGCCGAAAACCUAAGGUUUCCUCAGGAAGGUUCGUCCGCUGAGGGUUAGUCGGGACCUAAGCCGAGGCCGAAAGGCGUAGGUGAUGGACAACUGGUUGAUAUUCCAGUACCACUACCAUCGUUAUUAUCGAUGGCGUGACGCAGGAGGAUAGUGUGUGCUAGCUAUUGGAUGCUAGUCUAAGCGUUUAGGCAGUGAGAGUAGGCAAAUCCGCUCUCAUAAUGCUGAGGCGUGAUGGGGAAGGUUCUACGGAACCGAAGUACAUGAUUCCACGCUGCCAAGAAAAGCGUCUAGAGAGAGAAGUAGUGCCCGUACCGCAAACCGACACAGGUAGGUGAGGAGAGAAUCCUAAGGCCGGCGGAAGAAUUACAGUUAAGGAACUCGGCAAAUUGACCCCGUAAGUUCGCGAGAAGGGGUGCCUACGAGAGUAGGCCGCAGAGAAUAGGCCCAAGCAACUGUUUAGCAAAAACACAGGUCUCUGCUAAAGCGUAAGCUGAUGUAUAGGGGCUGACGCCUGCCCGGUGCUGG